rnacentral:rRNA from 1 species
UACGGGAGGGUGCAAGCAUUAAUCGGAAUUAUUGGGCGUAAAGGGCGCGUAGGCGGGUAAGUAAGUCAGAUGUGAAAUCCGGGACUCAAUUCCGGAGCUGCAUUUGAAACUGCUUGUCUUGAGGAUUGGCGGAGAGAACGGAAUUCCACGUGUAGCGGUGAAAUGCGUAGAUAUGUGGAAGAACACCGGUGGCGAAAGCGGUUCUCUAGCUAAUAACUGACGCUGAGGCGCGAGAGCAAGGGGAUCAAACAGG